GAUGAAGAACGUAGCGAAAUGCGAUACUUGGUGUGAAUUGCAGAAUCCCGUGAACCAUCGAGUCUUUGAACGCACAUUGCGCCCCCUGGCAUUCCGGGGGGCAUGCCUGUCCGAGCGUCAUUGCUGCCCUUCAAGCCCGGCUUGUGUGUUGGGUCGUCGUCCCCCCCGGGGGACGGGCCCGAAAGGCAGCGGCGGCACCGCGUCCGGUCCUCGAGCGUAUGGGGCUUUGUCACCCGCUCGAUUAGGGCCGGCCGGGCGCCAGCCGGCGUCUCCAACCUUCUAUUUUACCAGGUUGACCUCGGAUCAGGUAGGGAUACCCGCUGAACUUAAGCAUAUCAAUAAGCGGAGGA
rnacentral:misc_RNA from 1 species